rnacentral:rRNA from 1 species
GACUCCUACGGGAGGCAGCAGUGGGGAAUAUUGGGCAAUGGAGGAAACUCUGACCCAGCGACGCCGCGUGCGGGAUGAAGGCCUUCGGGUUGUAAACCGCUUUCAGUAGGGAAGAAGCGAAAGUGACGGUACCUACAAAAGAAGCACCGGCUAACUAUGUG